UUUUAUUUGAGAGUUUGAUCCUGGCUCAGGAUGAACGCUGGCGGCGUGCCUAACACAUGCAAGUCGAGCGAUGA
rnacentral:rRNA from 1 species